AUGGCCAGUGCUUCUAGCCCGCCGCUAGUAGCACUCGGCGUGCUCCUCCUCCUCCUCUUGUCCGUUAGUUCGGCCAUUGCGCAUGGCGGAGGAGCAGAUCCGGUACGCCGCCGCCAGCGCUACAUGGUGGUGCAGACCAGCCACCUGAUGGAGCCAAAAUCCAUUUGCUCCGGCCUCAAGGUGACUCCAUCCGCGAAUGGUACGUGGGUGCCGCUGCACCGGCCGUACGGCCCGUGCUCGCCGUCGGAGGGCACGCCGCCGCCCCUGGUCGAGAUGCUCCGCUGGGAUCAGGCCCGCACGGACUACGUCCGAAGGAAGGCCACCGGCGAGGUGGACGACGUGCUCGACCCGGCCAGGCCGCACGUGGACAUGAUGCAGGUGGACUUCAUGAUCCGAGGGACCUUCGGCAUCGGCUCUGGCUCUGGCUACGGCGCGGUGAUCGACGGCGACGACGACGACGACCCAAUGAUCCUGGCACAGACCAUGGCCAUCGACACGACGGAGGACGUCCCGUGGAUCCAGUGCCUCCCGUGCCCCAUCCCCCAGUGCUACCCGCAGCGGAACGCCUUCUUCGAUCCCCGCAGGUCGAGCACCGGCGCGCCCGUCCGCUGCGGCUCCCCCGCCUGCCGAUCUCUCGGCAACUAUGCCAAUGGCUGCUCCAAGGCCAACUCGACGGGAGACUGCCUGUACCGGAUCGAGUACAGCGAUCACCGGCUGACGCUGGGGACGUACAUGACCGACACGCUGACCAUCAGCCCCAGCACCACCUUCCUCAACUUCCGGUUCGGGUGCAGCCACGCCGUGCGCGGCAAGUUCAGCGCCCAGGCCUCCGGGACCAUGUCGCUCGGCGCCGGGCCGCAGUCGCUCCUCUCGCAGACGGCCCGCGCCUACGGCAACGCCUUCUCCUACUGCGUCCCGGGGCCCAGCGCCGCCGGUUUCCUCUCCAUCGGCGGGCCGGCCGACGAUGGCAGUACAUUCGCGACCACGCCGCUGGUCAGGAACGCCAACGUCAUCAACCCGACCAUCUACGUGGUGCGUCUCCAGGGCAUCGAGGUCGCCGGGCGGCGGCUCAACGUGCCGCCGGUGGUCUUCUCCGGCGGGACGGUCAUGGACUCGAGCGCCAUCAUCACGCGGCUGCCCCCCACCGCGUACCGCGCGCUGCGGCUGGCGUUCAGGAACGCCAUGAGGGCGUACAAGACGCGCGCCCCGACGGGGAACCUCGACACCUGCUUCGACUUCGUGGGGGUCACCACCGUGACGGUGCCCGCGGUCUCCCUGGUGUUCGACGGCGGCGCCGUCAUCGAGCUUGACCUUCUGGCCGUGCUGCUGGACGGAUGCCUCGCCUUCGCGCCCGUCGCCGCGGAUUUCGCCCUCGGCUUCAUCGGCAACGUGCAGCAGCAGACGCACGAGGUGCUCUAUGACGUCGCCGGAGGGGCUGUGGGCUUCCGCCGUGGUGCGUGCUAG
rnacentral:rRNA from 1 species